rnacentral:rRNA from 1 species
GACGAACGCUGGCGGCGUGCUUAACACAUGCAAGUCGAACGAUGAACCACUUCGGUGGGGAUUAGUGGCGAACGGGUGAGUAACACGUGGGCAAUCUGCCCUUCACUCUGGGACAAGCCCUGGAAACGGGGUCGUAAUACCGGAUAACACUGUCACGGGCAUCUGUGGUGGUUAAAAGCUCCGGCGGUGAAGGAUGAGCCCGCGGCCUAUCAGCUUGUUGGUGAGGUAAUGGCUCACCAAGGCGACGACGGGUAGCCGGCCUGAGAGGGCGACCGGCCACACUGGGACUGAGACACGGCCCAGACUCCUACGGGAGGCAGCAGUGGGGAAUAUUGCACAAUGGGCGAAAGCCUGAUGCAGCGACGCCGCGUGAGGGAUGACGGCCUCGG